rnacentral:lncRNA from 1 species
AGAAACACCGGGAGGUGGAGGGAGAGAGAAGGGAGUUUGGGAAGGGGGGGGGGGAGGACAGGAUUCAGCGAUGCAGAAUGGCGUUCCGAAGCGCGGAAGGUAAUUCUAUACGACAGCCGCGAGGGUUGUCUGAAAGCAAGCGAGUAGAGGACGCCGUUGUCGUUUCCCUCUUCCCUCGCUGCGCGCUGUGCUGGUAUUGCUUCACGAAGCUUGACGACAAGGUUUUCUGUACAGAGGACGGCUGCGGUGUUUCUCACGACGGGAGGUUGGGGCCUCGGGCUCUUCCAGAGAGCCGCGACAAGAAGGAGACCCCGAAGCUGUUGGUCGAGGAGGAUCUCCCCAUCUCCGUCGGCCCUUCUUUCCUGCCGCUCUUGGCGGCCGAU